rnacentral:lncRNA from 1 species
ACUGACAUUGUUUUGCAUCUGAUUCCUUGUAGGCUAAACAUAUAUCAUCUCCUCAUAGUUACUGAUGAAAUGAUGUUCUUUCUGGGAUGUUCUCGGAUUGAUGUGCUUCACGUUGUGACACUGGACAGAAUAGGCUUUUUUGGGGAAAUGCAGCACAGGACUUGCUUUGACUUCGUUCAUGCUGAGUGCCUGGUGCAAGUAUACUGAAAGUUAAGCAUAUGGAAACAUUUUGAAAAUGGUUCCCAAAGAACUCUGGAGCUUUGCUGGGAACGAUGAGCGACAGUCUCUGCUGGAGACCGGAAGCUGUGAAGCCACAGACGCCUGUCCAGAAGGUUUUGAACAUGUCAUCCAGCCCACCCCAGCCGACCCUGCCAGAGUGCUGACUCCAUCUUCAUUUGGGAAUUGCCGCCAAUCACUUUCAAGAGG